rnacentral:rRNA from 1 species
UACAGAGGUCCCAAGCGUUGUUCGGAUUCACUGGGCGUAAAGAGUGUGUAGGCGGUGCCUAAGUUCGGUGUGAAAUCUCCCGGCUCAACUGGGAGGGUGCAUCGAAAACUGGCAGGCUUGAGGCAGGGAGAGGGAUGUGGAAUUCCAGGUGGUAGUGGGUGAAAUGCGUGAGAUAUCUGGAGGAACACCAGUGGCGAAGGCGGCAUCCUGGCCCUGUCCUGACGCUCAGGGGCGAA